UUCGCCAGGGGACUACAAGCAUUAGCUUCAAACCCAAAGGACUUGGCGGUGCUUUAGACCCACCUAGAGGAGCCUGUCCUAGAACCGAUAACCCCCGUUCAACCUCACCACUUCUUGCCCAACCCGCCUAUAUACCGCCGUCGUCAGCUUACCCUGUGAAGGAACAACAGUAAGCCAAAUUGGCACAGCCCAAAACGUCAGGCCAAGGUGUAGCUUACGAAGUGUGCAAGAGAUGGGCUACAUUUUCUGAGCCAGAAAACCACGAAAGAGACAAUGAAAAAAUCUCUGAAGGAGGAUUUAGCAGUAAGCAGGGAAUAGAGCGCCCUACUGAAACCGGCCCUUAAGCGCGUACACACCGCCC
rnacentral:rRNA from 1 species